rnacentral:rRNA from 1 species
AACGAACGCUGGCGGCAGGCCUAACACAUGCAAGUCGAGCGGACCUUUCGGGGUCAGCGGCGGACGGGUGAGUAACGCGUGGGAAUAUGCCCUUCUCUACGGAAUAGUCCUGGGAAACUGGGGGUAAUACCGUAUACGCCCUUUGGGGGAAAGAUUUAUCGGGGAAGGAUUAGCCCGCGUUGGAUUAGGUAGUUGGUGGGGUAAUGGCCUACCAAGCCGACGAUCCAUAGCUGGUUUGAGAGGAUGAUCAGCCACACUGGGACUGAGACACGGCCCAGACUCCUACGGGAGGCAGCAGUGGGGAAUCUUAGACAAUGGGGGCAACCCUGAUCUAGCCAUGCCGCGUGAGUAAUGAAGGCCUUAGGGUUGUAAAGCUCUUUCAGCUGGGAAGAUAAUGACGGUACCAGCAGAAGAAGCCCCGGCUAACUCCGUG